CACUGUUCUAGCCCAUAUUCUCAUAUCACUGUAGCUUUAGACUACUUUGAAACCAUUUACUGCCACCUAUCGGCAAUGUGGUGCAUUACAGGCUAUAAUUCAUAUUCGUUAAAAUAACAUGGGUUACAAGAAUAUCACUAAGCACACAACAAACAAAUGUGACUUUACCUUGAAUAAUUGCUUCAUGUUACUUUUACAUCAUUUAUGUUGUUUGGGGGUUCUGUUUAUUCCAGAGUUGGGGAGCAGAGUAUAGCUGAAAGACCUGAGUUCUA